rnacentral:lncRNA from 1 species
UAACAGGAACCACCCCGCCCGGUCAGACAGAGACUAGCCAGCGCGGUCAGUAACAGACAACCCCCCAGGCCCGGUCAGUAACAGACAGAACCACCCAGCCCGGUCAGUAACAGACAGAACUCACCCAGCCGGUCCAGUAACCAGAACAGAACCACCCAGCCCGGUCAGUACAGAGAACCACCCAGCCCGGUCAGUAACAGACAGAACCACCCAGCCCGGUCAUUAACAGGAACCACCCAGCCCGGUCAGUAACAGACAGAACACCAGCCCGGUCAGUAAACAGACAGAGCACCACGCCGGUCAGUAACACAGAA